UACGGGGGGGGGCAAGCGUUGUUCGGAAUUACUGGGCGUAAAGCGCACGUAGGCGGAUUGCUAAGUCAGGGGUGAAAUCCUGGAGCUCAACUCCAGAACUGCCUUUGAUACUGGCAAUCUCGAGUCCGGGAGAGGUGAGUGGAACUGCGAGUGUAGAGGUGAAAUUCGUAGAUAUUCGCAAGAACACCAGUGGCGAAGGCGGCUCACUGGCCCGGUACUGACGCUGAGGUGCGAAAGCGUGGGGAGCAAACAGG
rnacentral:rRNA from 1 species